UUAAGAGUUUGUUGGUUUUAAAAAUUAUUUUCAUUCGUUAAUAUGAAAUGAAUUCAGGAACCGAGAAUUAGUGGAAAUGUUUGUGUCUUUAUGAUUUUUUCGAUCGUUUAUUGCGAUUUUUGUCGGGGGCGAUUGUCGAGUGGGAGAUUUGAUAAUAAUAAUAAAAAAAAAAAAAAACCUCGAGUGAUGGAGACAAAGAGAGUAUAUAAGUGAGUGCAUAAUAUUAUAUAGGUUGGCAUUGUCGGCUAUUUAUAUUUACAUAUACGAUGGUCGUACGUAUAGAACACAGUAAAAUAAAUUUUUUCCAGGGUCAGAAUAAUGAGUGAUGCGAAAUAACUAGGCUACCUAUUAUAAUGUUGUUAUAUAUUUUCAAGUGCCUACUUCGCGGUGUUUGAAUUUUUUCUUUUUUAAAUAUCUGAAUUAAAUCUUAAUCUAUUCUUAGAGUUGAUGUUUACACUUGUAGGUUACUUCUUUGUCGAGUUUAGUCAAAGCACUCAAAGCAGUUGACUGUUAUCUGCUAUAUACAUAAGUAUGCGUAUAUUUAUUGUAUUGUGUAAAUUCAUAAAUACUAAACAGGCGGGUAGCUGAACACAUAAUAAAAUGAAGAAAACAAGGAAAACUUCUUGAGAACAUUUUGAAAUCGUGUAUGAAAUAUUCUUG